rnacentral:rRNA from 1 species
CAAGACCUUGCGCUUUUGGAGCGGCCGAUGUCUGAUUAGCUAGUUGGUGAGGUAAAGGCUUACCAAGGCUUCGAUCAGUAGCUGGUCUGAGAGGACGACCAGCCACACUGGGACUGAGACACGGCCCAGACUCCUACGGGAGGCAGCAGUGGGGAAUUUUGGACAAUGGGGGAAACCCUGAUCCAGCCAUGCCGCGUGAGUGAAGAAGGCCUUCGGGUUGUAAAGCUCUUUCAGCCGGAACGAAACGGUCACGGCUAAUACCUGUGACUUCUGACGGUACCGGAAGAAGAAGCACCGGCUAACUACGUGCCAGCAGCCGCGGUAAUACGUAGGGUGCGAGCGUUAAUCGGAAUUACUGGGCGUAAAGCGUGCGCAGGCGGUUUUGUAAGUCAGAUGUGAAAUCCCCGGGCUUAACCUGGGAACU